CCGAAAAGUAGUCAAACUACUUAAUGAUAACUGUAUAGAGUAUUAUACUUAUCAAUCAAAAGACCUGAAACCGUACAGGGUCGUGUUAAAAUAUUUCCACCAUACGACAACCCCCGAAUAUAUUACCGAAGAACUGUCGGCCUAGGGUUUUUCUGUAAGAAACGUAAUCAACAUUAAAAAAAAACCGACCAAAGAGCCGCUAUCAUUAUCGACCUCAACGAUGCGCCGAAUAAUCCAGAUAUAUUCAAAAUAAAAACUUUGUGCUUCUCUAAAAUAAAAAUCGAGGAAACUCAUUCUCGUCGUGACAUUCCUGUGCCACAGAUGCCAAAAUUAUGGCCAUACACGAUCUUACUGCAACCCAGGUGUGUUCGAUGCGGCCAAGAGCACCUUUCCGAUAUGUGUCAAAAAACAAAAGAGUUACCAGCCACAUGCGCACUAUGUUGAGAAGGACAUCCUGCCAACUAUAAAGGAUGCGUCAAUCACAAACAGCUCCAAAGGUCUAGACAUAUGCUCAAGUCUUCUCAACCACCUAUGUACCCACAAGUCUCAACUGCUAAUAAUGUAAUGAUUAUUUUCUGAAGCUGGUACCAUUUAUGAAGACAAGAGAAACAGAUUGUUACACAGAAAUGCAGAAAAAUUGCUUUUUUUACGUAAUAAUCUUUCAAACACCUCAAACGUACGGAAAAUGUGUUGCUAAAACUUUGAGCCGACAGAUUUAAUGUUUCAAAAAUUUACUUCAUCAACAAUGCAAUCAGAUGGCAACAAUGAUCAGGAACGUUUACUAGAAAGAAGUACUCAAUUGCUGCCUAUACCAAAAUUUCUGGUGCCCCUUAUUUUAAAAACGUAAUUUUUAUACAAAAAUUAGUGAUGGGCAUAAUCGAGAUAUCUCGAUUAUAAUAAAAAUAAUCGAAUAAUUUCGAAUAUAAGUAAAAUAAUCGAUUUUUCUCUCGAUCUCGAAAUGUUUUGAAUUGUUGAUUGUCAAUUGAUAUUAUUUUAUUAUUUUUAUAUUACUAAAACUUUUCCCAUGACUGAAUCCCGCUAAUUUCCACUUUUACCGAAACGACUAUGUUAUCGCUGUCAAAAAAAUAUGGCCGACGUCGACGUAUAAUGUUAUUACUUAUUACUGUAGAUACUUAAAACGACCGAUGGUCAGAUUAUUUAAAAUCCACCGAUAUCCAUAAAAUACAGUAUAGAAAUCCAAUCUUUUUUAGUGAAGACAUGGUGGUAAAUGCACAGCCCUUUUUUCAUCAGACAAAUGUCCAUUGUCUUAGAAAAAAAAGCUUUCUAUACAAAUUGUCUAAGUUUUUACGUUGCAUGUUCUCACUAAAUAUUUCAACGAUUUCCAUUUCAUCAACCACAUAUCAUUUUUCUAAAACAACUUUCAUUCUUAAAUCCAUCUGAAAUACAAAAUAUCAUGUCUAUAGGUAAGUUGUCUCAUAUUAUGAACACAAAUUAAAUAUUGAUCUCAAUGAUAUUGAUAGAGAGUGGAGAGGCUUAAAAACAAUGGACCUAAAUUUUAAAUUAGAUUUAACUGAAUUCUGGAAAGUUAUUAUGACUAUGAAAAAUGGAGAUAAUAAUCAUACAUAUCCGUUACUGACAAAAUUUGUUUCAUUUCUUUUAAUUCUCCCACACAGUAGUGCAUGUGUGGAACGAAUUUUCAGUGCUAUUAAUUUAAAUAAAACUAAAACUCGCAACAAAUUAUCAACUGAAUCUUUAUCAGGUAUUUUACAUUGUAAAAAUAU